rnacentral:lncRNA from 1 species
CCAUAGUCCAGUGUUGCAGCAGACCACAGCAGCUCACAGGCAACAUCUUUCCAGGUUCUUAUCUCACAGAUCCCAAGAGAGAAAUUCACAGAAUGGAAGGCAAGAGUGAAAAAAAGUAGGGUUUAUUUAAGAAUAGAAACAGACUUCUCACAAGGCAAGAAGGGACCUGAUAGCAGGUUUUCCAUCUGAGUAUACUAGUCCAGGGGUUUAUAUAGCACUGGGGUCAAGGCUAUGGGUCCAAAUUUAUGCUAAUCGGGACUGGAAAAAUACCAGUACUACCAGUUAGCCUUGCAGUCCCGUUCAGGCCUGCUCCACUUCCAUUUCUCCCAGAUUGUUGGGAAGCGGGAGGCUGAGAUCACCUCAUCAUGAAUGCUUGGUGUUGCAGGCUGCAGUGCUGUGUGGAGCAGGUGUCCACAACAGGCCCAGACAGGAAUGCCUCAGCACAACAGGUUGGUGUACCCUGGAUUGCUGCAGCCCUGGCUAGCUGGGCCUCAGGCUCAUGUUGGCAUGGCGGGCUCUGCAUGGCCCCUGCACAUGUAGGCUUCACUACCUGUGCUUCAGCCCUCCCUAGCCACUGUUUUGCAGCUCCAUGGCUGCUUCACUGCAGCUUCUCAGCAGAUAUCAGUGGGCUGGCUAAGUGGUUCAGUGGCUGGGAAAUCAUGUCACUGGAGAUCAAACCCAAUACCUUGCACGUGCUAGGCAAGUACUCUACCACUGAGCUACAUCUCCAGCACUCGCCUUAUUGUCUGCCUUUGUUGCUAUUGUUUGGCUUAUUGUUAAUUAUUUUGUUUUUAACCUGUUAAUAU